CGUUCUUCGGCUUUCUCAGAGUUCCGAGGAAAGGCAGGGUGUGUACAAGUGUAGGAGAUGUUAGAGCAGUUACUAAUAUUUACCCGAGGGGGAUUAAUCCUCUAGACAUGUAAAGAGCUUGGAAAUGUUCUUAGGGGAUCACCAAUUGACACCUUGAUCAGGUCUUGUCUUUUGCAAGAACGACAAGGAGGUGGAAAUUUCUGGCUUUAGAUUUCUGGCCAAACAGGAGCUCACAGGAAGAUUUCAAAGGUUGUUGUAAACUGAUUUUAGAAGAUUGGUUUUCUUAAUUUCUUGGAGAGGUAAUACCCAAUAUGAUUGUUGGAAUUUUUGGAUUUCGAGCAACAAUUUAUGCUGAUUUGGACAAAAUGAUAAGGUUUUUUGGAGAUCUUUAUAAGCACAAUUUUAGGGUUAAAAUAGAGGACUUGAGGGUACUAAAAAUAUAUUGUGAGGUCUUGAGUAUCAAGCUUUGUGUUU